GAUUCCCAUUCCACACACUCGCCCAGUUUUCGCAGGGGGACAAAAACUCUCCCCAAACUGCCAAAGCGCACACGCACAGAAUCCCAUUUCGCAAGGAUCUGAAAUCAAAGCCCUAAACCUGCUCGCUUUCCGGAGUGAUCCGACUCUCUCCCCGGGCUCUUGAAGUCUGCGAUGGCGCAUCGAAGAGUGAAGCUCUCGUUCCUCCUUUUCGCUCUGUGCCACGCUCUCACCACCAUUGCAGGGAAGAGCUACUACGAUCUACUGCAAGUGACACGUGGUGCGUCGGAUGACCAGAUCAAGAGGGCGUAUAGAAAGCUCGCGUUGAAGUACCAUCCUGAUAAGAACCAGGGAAAUGAGGAGGCGAAUAAGCGAUUCGCAGAAAUUAGCAACGCGUACGAGGUGUUGUCGGAUAGCGAGAAGAGGAAUAUAUACGACAGGUAUGGGGAAGAGGGGCUGAAACAACAUGCAGCUAGUGGCGGAGGCAGAGGUGGCGGAAUGGGAAUGAACAUCCAAGACAUUUUUGGCCAUUUUUUUGGUGGGGGCCAAAUGGAUGAGGAAGAGAGAGUUGUUAAAGGCGAUGAUGUGAUUGUUGAUUUGGAUGCAAGUUUGGAAGAUUUAUACAUGGGAGGAUCAUUGAAGGUUUGGAGGGAGAAAAACAUUUUAAAGCCGGCCCCAGGCAAGAGACGCUGUAAUUGUAGAGAUGAGGUAUAUCACAGGCAAAUUGGUCCAGGGAUGUUUCAACAGAUGACAGAGCAGGUCUGCGAACAAUGCCCAAAUGUCAAAUAUGAACGGGAGGGAUAUUUCGUCACUGUUGAUAUCGAGAAAGGGAUGCAGGAUGGGCAAGAGGUUGUUUUCUAUGAAGAUGGCGAGCCUAUAAUAGAUGGAGAAUCUGGAGAUUUAAGGUUUCGUAUCUGCACAGCAUCCCAUGAUCGCUUCAGAAGAGAAGGCAAUGACUUGCACACAUCAGUCAGCAUAACACUGGUUCAAGCCCUAGUUGGUUUUGAGAAGACAGUCAAACAUCUCGAUGACCAUUUGGUGGACAUUGGCACGAAGGGAAUUACUAAGCCCAAGGAAGUGAGAAAGUUAAAAGGGGAGGGGAUGCCAUUGCAUUUUAGCACAAAGAAAGGGGAUCUCUAUGUCACGUUUGAGGUUUUAUUCCCAACCUCUCUAACAGAGGACCAGAAGACGAAGAUUGAGGCAGUUCUUGGUUAGGAUAUAGGUCAAAUGUUUUUGUUUGGGUUCGAAGAUGUAAUCAAUUGUAACAUGAAGAGGGUAUUAUAGAAAAUUCAGCGGACCCUGAGGGCAAUUUCUGACCAGCGUAGGUGCCUCAAGCUGUACCUAACCCCACAGGUUACCCCGUGGAACGAGGAUGACUUGAUGUUUCUGGAGGAAGAUGAUGGUUUUCCGGUGCUUGAGAACUGGUUUGGAAUGACUGUGUGAUAGGAUUCAUAUAGGGUAAGCCAAGACCCCAUUUUGGAGAGGGGAUACAUUUGUAGUUCGAAUUUUCGAGACAAAAUGUCGAAUUCAAGAUGCCGUUUAGAGGUGUGCUGGGAUUCUCCCGCUUUUAUUUCAACAAAUACACGGUGCAGAAAGCCAGUUAGCCAAAACCAAGUUGAGAUUGCCUUAUUCAGUUCUAAAGCACGUGAAGGACGAGUUCAGGAACUUGAAGCCAAUUCCAACUUCAGCAAUUUGUUACCGGGAGAAGCCACUACUGCUGUCCUGUAUGAUCAAGGUCAUCCCAUUCAAAAUUCCUGUUUAUGAAAAAAAGCAAAUUACUGUACAGUUAGUGCUGACCAGCCCAUGGUGAAUAAUAUUAUAUCCUCGUAGUAGAAUGAUGGUGAGAUGACACUGUAAAUAUAUAGUAUAUUAUUCUUUCUAUUAAAAAUCACCAUGCAAGCAGUAGGCUAUAUGUAUACCCUACACCGUGUAUAAAAGUAGAAUAUUAUCAUAUUACAUAUUACAGUUAAAAAAAUUAUAAUUUUA